ACAGGUUGACCUAUUUAUUACUGUAGGAACAUUCAUAGCUGUAAUUCAAUCACAGAUGGACACGAUGUCACACGGCAAUAUGAAUAACAGCUUUACUUGGUAUAAAGAAUAUGAAAUACAGUUGACCAUAGAUUAACACACAGGGUCACAUAGAUUAACACACAGGGUCACAGAAUGACACACAGGGUCACAUAGAUUAACACACAGGGUCACAUAGAUUAACACACAGGGUCACAUAGAUUAACACACAGGGUCACAUAGAUUAACACACAGGGUCACAUAGAUUAACACACAGGGUCACAUAGAUUAACACACAGGGUCACAUAGAUUAACACACAGGUUCACAUAGAUUAACACACAGGUUCACAUAGAUUAACACACAGGUUCACAUAGAUUAACACACAGGUUCACAUAGAUUAACACACAGGUUCACAUAGAUUAACACACAGGGUCACGUAGAUUAACACACAGGUUCACAUAGAUUAACACACAGGUUCACAUAGAUUAACACACAGGGUCACGUAGAUUAACACAGAGGGUCACAUAGAAUGUCAGAAAUGCUACAUUUUCAAAAAGCCAAGCUGCUACAAAGCAGUGUACAACACAAGACAAUCCUGAGACAGAUAAUACACUGAAAUACAGUCUGGUAAGAUGUUCAGUCACUAGGAAGACUAUAAGGUUGUUGAGAUGAAGCUGACUAUAGUAACACUGAACUACAGUCAAUAUGUAUAUAACAAGUCAUUAUAAAAGGAGGGCUUUUUACUAAGCUAACAGAACACCGGUACA